UUUAACUUUAAAUUUUUUGGCCCUCAAACCCGAAACCAAAUAAUCAGGCAAUCCAUUACACAAACCACACAAAAUUACAGUAAAAUAAGUAUCAUUCAACAAACAAAAGAUCAAAAGAUGCAAUCACUUAUAUUCGUCCAUGCAUAGCAAAAAUUUGGGUCAAUAUGUACAUCUACAUGAUUUACGGCUUUCAGAAAGUGAAAUUGCU
rnacentral:lncRNA from 1 species